ACGGAAGGCAGCAGUGGGGAAUAUUGGGCAAUGGGCGGAAGCCUGACCCAGCAACGCCGCGUGAAGGAAGAAGGUCUUCGGAUUGUAAACUUCUUUUAUGAGGGACGAAGGACGUGACGGUACCUCAUGAAUAAGCCACGGCUAACUACGUGCCAGCAGCCGCGGUAAUACGUAGGUGGCAAGCGUUGUCCGGAUUUACUGGGUGUAAAGGGUGCGCAGGCGGGACUGCAAGUUGGAUGUGAAAUACCGGAGCUCAACUCCGGAACUGCAUCCAAAACUGUAGUUCUUGAGUGGAGUAGAGGUAAGCGGAAUUCCGAGUGUAGCGGUGAAAUGCGUAGAUAUUCGGAGGAACACCAGUGGCGAAGGCGGCUUACUGGGCUCUAACUGACGCUGAGGCACGAAAGUGCGGGUAGCAAACAGGAUUAGAUACCCUGGUA
rnacentral:rRNA from 1 species